CCUCGAAUUCUCUUUAACAUCGGGUCGUUAACCUCACUCAAUGAUCAUAUUCCAUUUCCUUCUUCGUAAGGAAUUUUGAUUUACGUGCCUCAUUAUCUUCAAUUUGACUAGAACACUUUACGAGGUCAGGGUACGUAACUUAUAUCUAUUAUCACCCUUGAGUCAAAACCAUGGUACCCUUCUCAAUUAUUCUUUCUUAUCACUAAGAUCCCAAGUAUGCCUUUAAUUCC
rnacentral:lncRNA from 1 species